rnacentral:rRNA from 1 species
AUUGAACGCUGGCGGCAGGCUUAACACAUGCAAGUCGAACGAGUGGCGGACGGGUGAGUAAUGUAUGGGAACCUGCCUUAUGGAGGGGGAUAACUACGGGAAACUGUAGCUAAUACCGCAUACCAUAGGAUGAGCCCAUGUGGGAUUAGUUAGUUGGUGGGGUAAAGGCUCACCAAGGCGACGAUCUCUAGCUGGUCUGAGAGGAUGACCAGCCACACUGGGACUGAGACACGGCCCAGACUCCUACGGGAGGCAGCAGUGGGGAAUAUUGCACAAUGGGGGCAACCCUGACGCAGCCAUGCCGCGUGAAUGAAGAAGGCCUUCGGGUUGUAAAGUACUUUCGGUAGCGAGGCGUUAUCUACAGAAGAAGCACCGGCUAACUCCGUGCCAGCAGCCGCGGUAAUUC